ACUCUUAUAGUUCAAAGGAUAGAACAAGGGUCUUCUAAACCUUAGAUGUAAGUUCGAGUCUUACUAAGAGUA
rnacentral:tRNA from 1 species